rnacentral:rRNA from 1 species
AUGUCCCAUUAUCCAUUCGAUCGUAGUUUUCACCCUAAGAUGAGCAGCACUCUGCUGAGUCUAGCUACCGAUUUCAGGAUGGACAAUAGGAUAGUUCCAUGGGACGAACUCACCAGUAGUGACACCAUAAUGAAUGAGUUGGCUCACCAACUACGUAGGUCUGGGUGGCCUGAAAGGACCUAUGAGGAGGUACGUCAAGAACUUCUUAGGUUGCAUGAAAGGUGGAAGAAGUUGGUGGAGCCGAAGAGUGAAACUUUCAGAAGGACUGCAGAAAAGCAUCCAUUUUUAUGGACUGAGGAGAGCGAGGACGACGAUGAUAUCUUCAUGUCGCCGCUUCCGGGUUCUGCAUCCGCGAAGGGCAAGAGUUCUGUAUCGACCAAGGGCAAGAGUUCUGCAUCGACGAAAGGCAAGAAGAGCGCAUCGUCGAAGGGCAAGAGGGCUGCAUCAACGGAGGAUGACGAUGAUGACUUCAUGUAG